UGAAAACUUGCAUGACAAAUCCACAUGUACUUCAUGUUGAUGUGUAACAUUAUUUGUCUUAUUUGUCACUGAAAUACUCAUUUUUUGCCCAGCCUCUAAACUAAAUAUAAAAACAAAAUUAAAAGUCCAAAUAAACAGUCCAUUUUACAUAUAUAGCCCAGUUACAAAAUAAACUAAAUAUUCAGAAAUAAAAUAAGCCCAACUCAGCCCAAAAUUACCUAGACCCAAAUACCAACCUAACACCUAGCCCUAGCCCGAACCGUUAGCCCAAUACAACCCAAGUCUGAAACUCCAGCACUCAGCUCCAGCCACCGCAGCAAUAACUUCCAUGCGUCGCGCCGAGCCGUGCCACGUCACCGUACGGCCUUGUACCUGCAACGACCUGCAAGAGCCAACGACGCAGCAGAAAAGAGAAAAAUUGUAUUUUUCAUUUUUUCGUUUUUUAUUUCACUUUUUCCCGGCCUAUAAAACGAAUGUUGAGGCCACUAUAAAGUUUUUUACGAUAGAUAUACAAAAGAAAUAGCAGAAAAAUCGAAAAGAAAAAUUGAAAGGUGACUUUUUUUUUCUUUUUUACUUCUCCGCCUUCUUUGAUGUGUGUUUACUAGCGAUAGUUUUGCAAAAUAAAAGAAAGGGAGGGGAGAUUUGCCUUUGGGAUGGUAACGAUCGAAGCCUCGUUCACUUCGUCGCAAUCGAAGUACGGACGAGGGCUAUGAGGCCGAAAACCGGCGGAGCUUUCGGCAAAGGGAAACUAGGGUGAAACCCUAGCAUAGAUAAGGAAAAGGGGGCGCCUCCUUUUUCUGCGUUUUUG
rnacentral:lncRNA from 1 species